rnacentral:rRNA from 1 species
UGGGGAAUAUUGCACAAUGGGCGAAAGCCUGAUGCAGCAACGCCGCGUGAGUGAUGAAGGCCUUCGGGUUGUAAAGCUCUGUCUUUUGGGACGAUAAUGACGGUACCAAAGGAGGAAGCCACGGCUAACUACGUGCCAGCAGCCGCGGUAAUACGUAGGUGGCAAGCGUUGUCCGGAUUUACUGGGCGUAAAGGAUGCGUAGGCGGAUUUUUAAGUGAGAUGUGAAAACCCUAAGCUUAACUUGGGGACUGCAUUUCAUACUGGAAAUCUAGAGUGCGGGGGAGGAGAAUGGAAUUCCUAGUGUAGCGGUGAAAUGCGUAGAGAUUAGGAAGAACACCAGUGGCGAAGGCGAUUCUCUGGACCGUAACUGACGCUGAGGCAUGAAAGCGUGGGUAGCAAACAGGAUUAGAUACCCUGGUAGUCCACGCCGUAAACGAUGAGUACUAGGUGUAGGAGGUAUCGACCCCUUCUGUGCCGCAGUUAACACAAUAAGUACUCCGCCUGGGAAGUACGAUCGCAAGAUUAAAACUUAAAUGAAUUGACGGGGGUCAUAGCUGUUUCCU